rnacentral:rRNA from 1 species
AUUGAACGCUGGCGGCAGGCCUAACACAUGCAAGUCGAACGGCAGCGGGGGGUAGCUUGCUACCCCGCCGGCGAGUGGCGGACGGGUGAGUAAUGCCUGGGGAGCUGCCCAAUCGAGGGGGGAUACCAGUUGGAAACGACUGCUAAUACCGCAUACGCCCUGAGGGGGAAAGGUGGGGCUCUUCGGACCUACCGCGAUUGGAUGCACCCAGGUGGGAUUAGCUAGUUGGUGAGGUAACGGCUCACCAAGGCGACGAUCUCUAGCUGGUCUGAGAGGAUGACCAGCCACACUGGAACUGAGACACGGUCCAGACUCCUACGGGAGGCAGCAGUGGGGAAUAUUGCACAAUGGGGGAAACCCUGAUGCAGCCAUGCCGCGUGUGUGAAGAAGGCCUUAGGGUUGUAAAGCACUUUCAGCGAGGAGGAAAGGUGGCUAGCUAAUACCUAGUUGCUGUGACGUUACUCGCAGAAGAAGCACCGGCUAACUCCGUGCCAGCAGCCG